AGCAUUUCAAGACCAAGCUUGACUGAAGCAGAGGAGGGAUCCUUGACUGAGGUUUAUCCCAGUGUUCAUGUAGGACCUGUUGAAAAAUUGUCUUGCAAGAAUGUACCUCAAGAUACGGAGAGAAAACAUGAGCACCGGGUUCACAUUCUUCAUUUUUGCUCAUGUCGGUCAAAUAUGCACAAUUGGAGAACACCUUGUAGGAGCACCAAUAAAAUCCAAGUGGCAGCUGGGAAACCACUCCAAAGUGUGAAGAAGUUUGAAAGAGAGCAACAGGAAAGCAGGAGUUUAAAAUAUUUUGUUUGAAAUAGGCCUCCUUUGAUAUUUUUUGAAAGAUAUCAAUAAAUAUUUGAAUUACUUCUUAUUUUGA